UCCCCCAAAUUGAUUUUAUUACCUAUAAUGUUUAGUAUAUAAAAAACGAAAUAUAAAUUUUAUUAUCCUCACGACCUUAAAAAAGAAUACCCCCAAAUUCAAGUUUUUUUGUUCUAUUACCCGGUCACUACCAAAUUACAAAUCUCCAACUUCCCUCUCUCCCAAAAUUUCCCUCCUAUACCCUAAAUCAAUUUCCCUCUCUAGAAUUGCUAAUCCAUUUUCCCUCUAUGCAGAUCUCCACCAAGGUUAAUGGAGCACAUAACUAUCGCACCAAUGGGGGCCACCACCAGCGGCGUUCUCUCUCUAUCUUCCUUUGUCCACUUCACCACCAUCGCUGACUGUUAACCACCGUAUGCUGCUGCAAUCCGACGUCCCAGUGCCCUUGCCCCUAUACGAUUUGCCAGCCUGGUCCAAAUUUUGUGAUUGGAUUCUUCUGGUGCUUGUUCUCUGUAGAUAUGGCUGAUGACUGCUGGCUUGCUACAUGCAAGGAUAACAUGAAUUGUGAUAUAACGUCUCCAUACUGUGGUGAAAACCGUAUUAUGGGGGAUUAUGCAUUUUUUAACACAAGUUGCAAACCUCUUCAACCAUCUUAAAUAACUCUGGUAGUAAGCAUUUUAUUAUUUUUCAAUCAGUUAGCUCGCUUGGUCAAAACCUCAAGACAAGUACCUACUUAUGGGAUUUUUGAACAGGUAUUAUUCUAGUUUCUUCUUCUAGGCAACAUAUAUCUUCACUCAAUGACAUUAAGAGUAGAAAUGAGGGUAAAAAGGAGGGAUGCAGAGGUAUGGAUGUCCCACAAGAUGCUUCCUGAAGAUCUGAAGGAAGGUGUGACACUCUAUGAACAAAAGAAAACAGGAAGUCAAUGAAGAAUCUCUUGUUCACAAGCUGCCCGAGGACUUAUGGAAGGACAUAAAGUUCAAUGGACAAUACAACCGGCAACCAAACUGCCAAAUUGUUCAUGUAAAAUAACAUCAGGCAUAUAUAAUAAUAUCUCAUACUGCUCCAAGUAUAGAAAAAAACCCACAAAUCAGUAGCAUCACAAGGCUGUUUGGAAGGUUUUAUUAUCAAACCCAGCAACCUAUUCCUUAUAUUGCCUUUUCCAUUGUAAUUGACCCGUUUAUUUUUAUUUUGAUUACAUUGUAAUAUUGAGUUUGGACAUAUGUUAAUAUAUAAGGGUAUCUUUUGCAUUUUUCUUACUA